rnacentral:tRNA from 1 species
UAGCUCAGUUGGUCAGAGCGUGGUGCUGAUAACAUCAAGGUCGCGAGUUCGAUUCCCGU